rnacentral:rRNA from 1 species
UACGUAGGGGGCAAGCGUUGUCCGGAUUUAUUGGGCGUAAAGAGCUCGUAGGCGGUCUUUCAGGUCUGCUGUGAAAACUCGAGGCUCAACCUCGAGCCGUCGGUGGAAACCGUCAGACUAGAGUCCGGAAGGGGAGAGUGGAAUUCCCGGUGUAGCGGUGAAAUGCGCAGAUAUCGGGAGGAACACCGGUGGCGAAGGCAGCUCUCUGGGACGGAACUGACGCUGAGAAGCGAAAGCGUGGGGAGCGAACAGG